GACGAACGCUGGCGGCGUGCUUAACACAUGCAAGUCGAACGGAAAGGCCCUGCUUUGUGGGGUGCUCGAGUGGCGAACGGGUGAGUAACACGUGAGUAACCUGCCCUUGACUUUGGGAUAACUUCAGGAAACUGGGGCUAAUACCGGAUAGGAGCUCCUGCUGCAUGGUGGGGGUUGGAAAGUUUCGGCGGUUGGGGAUGGACUCGCGGCUUAUCAGCUUGUUGGUGGGGUAGUGGCUUACCAAGGCUUUGACGGGUAGCCGGCCUGAGAGGGUGACCGGCCACAUUGGGACUGAGAUACGGCCCAGACUCCUACGGGAGGCAGCAGUGGGAAAUAUUGCACAAUGGGCGGAAGCCUGAUGCAGCAACGCCGCGUGCGGGAUGACGGCCUUCGGGUUGUAAACCGCUUUCGCCUGUGACGAAGCGUGAGUGACGGUAAUGGGUAAAGAAGCACCGGCUAACUACGUG
rnacentral:rRNA from 1 species